ensembl:snRNA U2 U2 spliceosomal RNA
AUCGCUUCUCGGCCUUUUGGCUAAGAUCAAGUGUAGUAUCUGUUCUUAUCAGUAUAAAGGUAGAGGGUUCAGUAUAAAGUAUCAGUUAGUGCUUUUCUAUCUACACAUCCUCU